UCCAUUAUAUUCUGAUGAUCAUAACUCUUUCUAAUUAUUUUUCUUAAAGUGAUGUAAAAUUGAAAUACAGUGAAAUGUACCAAUCUUAACUGAAUUACUGUCAAAUUUUUAAAAGUUCCACUCCUCCCUACCCCACAGUGUCCAACAACCCUAUCAAGAUAUGAACCAUUCAUUUCCAAGAGAGCCACUGAAGUGAGAAGAUGAGAAUAACAGAACCCAGGGAGAAGGAACAUCAGACACAGGCCAUGUGCUUUCCCAUAUGACAGAGGUGUCACAGAUGCCAGCAGCCUUUCUUCAGAGAAGGUGGAUUUGGCUGGAAGCAGGGGGAUGAGGAACACACAGAAGAGGACCUGGCAUCUGUCAUCCCAUCAACAGUCCUCAGUGAUUCUCCCAUGAACAGCAAGUGGGAAUGUGGCCCCCAGGCCUGGCCUUCCCCACAAGGUGAUGAUGGUGGAGCACACCAGGAUGGCAGAUGCUAGACCAGUGUUUGUUCCAGAGAAGCUAAGAGAGUACAAAAUGC